AAGUCGUAACAAGGUUUCCGUAGGUGAACCUGCGGAAGGAUCAUUAGCGAAGUUCGGAAUGCCGGUUCGGUGCUGAAGCUGCCCAGCGAUGGGAUGUGCUCGUCCGGGCCGGUGUCCCUUCUCUAUUCCACCCCACUGUGAACCAAGCGUGCGAGCAGAAGAGAGAUCGGAAGCUCGCAUGCACACAUUAACAUACCCCUUAUGAAGUAUCUGAAUGUACCUUGCGUUAACUCGCACAAAUACAACUUUCAACAACGGAUCUCUUGGCUCUC
rnacentral:misc_RNA from 1 species